rnacentral:rRNA from 1 species
GCAAAACGCGAAGAACCUUACCAAGGCUUAAAUGCAGACUGACCGGUUUGGAAACAGACCUUUCGCAAGACAGUCUACAAGGUGCUGCAUGGUUGUCGUCAGCUCGUGCCGUGAGGUGUCAGGUUAAGUCCUAUAACGAGCGCAACCCCUGUUGCUAGUUGCCAGCGAGUCAUGUCGGGAACUCUAGCAAGACUGCCAGUGCAAACUGUGAGGAAGGUGGGGAUGACGUCAAAUCAUCACGGCCCUUACGCCUUGGGCUACACACGUGCUACAAUGGCCGGUACAGAGAGCAGCCACCCCGCGAGGGGGAGCGAAUCUAUAAAGCCGGUCACAGUUCGGAUCGGAGUCUGCAACUCGACUCCGUGAAGCUGAAAUCGCUAGUAAUCGGAUAUCAGCCAUGAUCCGGUGAAUACGUUCCCGGGUCUUGUACACACCG